rnacentral:misc_RNA from 1 species
AACGCACCUUGCGCCCCUUGGCAUUCCGAGGGGCACACCCGUUUGAGUGUCGUGAAAUCAUCAAAACCUUCUCUUUGACCCUCUUUGGUCGGGAAAAGGAUUUUUGGACUUGGAGGUUCCAUGCUCGCCUUCACUUUUGAAAGCGAGCUCCUCUCAAAUGAAUUAGUGGGGUCCGCUUUGCUGGUCCUUGACGUGAUAAGAUGUUUCUACGUUUUGGAUUUAGCACUGUCCCUUGGAUGCCUGCUCCUAACUGUCUCACGGACAAUGAUGGUGCUCUGGUCACUGCCAUCUACAUUGGCGGGAGGCUGGACCCACAAAAGAAAACCUUGACCUCAAAUCGGGUGAGACUACCCGCUGAACUUAA